UUGAACGCUGGCGGCAUGCCUUACACAUGCAAGUCGAACGGUAGAAGUAGCAAUACUUUGAGAGUGGCGAACGGGUGAGUAAUACAUCGGAACAUGCCCAACUGUGGGGGAUAACGUAGCGAAAGUUACGCUAAUACCGCAUACGAUCUACGGAUGAAAGCGGGGGACCGUAAGGCCUCGCGCAGUUGGAGUGGCUGAUGUCAGAUUAGCUAGUUGGUAGGGUAAAAGCCUACCAAGGCAACGAUCUGUAGCUGGUCUGAGAGGACGACCAGCCACACUGGGACUGAGACACGGCCCAGACUCCUACGGGAGGCAGCAGUGGGGAAUUUUGGACAAUGGACGAAAGUCUGAUCCAGCAAUGCCGCGUGCAGGACGAAGGCCUUCGGGUUGUAAACUGCUUUUGUACGGAACGAAAAAGCUUUUUUUAAUAAAAAGAGUUUAUGACGGUACCGUAAGAAUAAGCACCGGCUAACUACGU
rnacentral:rRNA from 1 species